UCAUAUUCGCACUUGACAUAUU
rnacentral:miRNA from 1 species